AGCCGCACGACCUCUCUCCUUGACUUACUCUCUCUGUCUCUCAUGAAUUUUUGGGUUGAAUUGAAUUUCUGGGUUUAAUGUUUUCAAUCGAUCUUUUCUGGGUUUACAAUCGAUCUGUGUCUCACUCUUUCAUUAAUUUAUGGGUUUUCAGUUGAAGUAUCGGGCUCGUGGUCAACUGAUCUUGCUCUUGGAGACUUGGUUCGAUUCAGAAAUUUUCAAGCUUGGAUACAAGAGUAUGUUGAAGCUGCAAGCUUCUGUCAAUUCUGGAGGGGCUUUUGGAUGGCCAAGUUUUGCAGCUUUAACAGCUUUAAGAUGAGAGCAACCCAGAUUUUGUUGUGGAAGUGGUGUCUUUGUUCUUUGAUGAUUCUGAGAAGCUUCUCAAUUAUAUCACCAGAGCUCUUGCAACCAAGUGUAGACUUCAGAAAAAUUGGUGCCCAUGUUCACCAGUUCAAAGGUAGCAGCUCCAGGU